rnacentral:lncRNA from 1 species
CACACACAUUAUUCACACACAACAGAAGUUCACUCAGUCUCAGUGCUUUCAUUCAACCAUCAGCUACUCUCAUAUUUUUAUUCAUUUUAUAAAACCACAUUCAGCAUAGUUGAGUUAAUAAUGAUUAUAUAAUGAAUCAAUUUAAUAAGUACUAGAAAUUAAAAAUCUGAUCUUUAUAGUGUACUUCAGUUAAGAUGGAGGAGAGGCUGAUGAUACUCAUAAUGAUCAUCACAGUUUCAGGCAUUUAUGCUGAUAGAAUUGGUCCAAGAGAAGGAGACACUAAUAUAAUCAGAGAAGAAGGAGAGUCUGUGACACUGAGCUGCACAUAUGAAACAAACAGCAAUAAUAUUUAUCUCUUCUGGUACAGACAAUAUCUAAACAGAGAACCAGAAUAUAUACUGUAUAAAGGCGCUCGAUCACGGAGCAGUGAGGAUAUACCAGAUGGGUUUCAGUCAACUACAUCCCGGACAUCCACUGAACUUACUAUUGUAAAAGCAGCUCUGUCAGAUUCUGCUCUUUAUUAUUGUGCACUUCGAGUAGCCCAGUGAUACAAAAUACCAGAGAAGCUUUACAAAAACUCACAUGAAAUUAAUGCUUUGAAGAGUUUUUAAUCAAGCAGUAUCAAAACACAUCAUGUUUUAUAAACCACAAACAGUGAAUGUGGUAACAGCUGUGAAUUUGGGAGGUUAAAAAUGUUGCAUAAGGGCAUGUGAAUAUAAUAUACAGUAGCAUGCAUCACAUGGUUUCACAUUAUCACUUCUCAGUUAAAUCCUUGCAAAACAACAAAACACAAAAAAAACUUAUUUACAUUCAUGAUUAUGAAUUUUGUUCUUCAGGUGUCACUUUUCUGAAUGUCAGCACUAGUCUGAAUGAUAAAAAAGAAGCAAUUCAUAAAAGUUAAAUAAAACCAUUACAUCACACAUUACAUCAUUACAACACUUUCUGACAGAGGCUUCCUCUGUUAAUCAGUAUAUUUGACAACUAAAAUGCAGGUCUAAAUUCUAUUAAGGCUAAUGAAAAAUAUGAAUUACCUGGUGAGUUAACACCACAAACACAUUCAGGAUCAGAGAUCAGAGAUCUAUGAUCAGAGAAAGAUGAUCUGAUUCAUAAAUUCAGGAUCGCAGCUUUAAGAGAAGGUACUCUCUGGAGACACCCUCAGCUAGAAAAUGAAUGAAUGUUUAGUUCAGUAACACUCUGUCAUGCUGAUGAACCUGAAAACCAUCAUCCUGAAAAUGAUGCUUUGUUGUAUGCCUUUGCUCUGGUCUCUUUCAUUUCAACCCUCAUAUUUCUCUUCAUCUGGUUCAUUUGUAAGUCUAGA